GCUGGGUGCAGUGGUGCAUGCCUGUAAUCCCAGUGUCUUAGGAGGCUGAGACGGGAGGGAUCAUGAGUUCAAAGCCAGCCUCAGCAACAGCAAGGUGCUAAGCAACUCAGUGAGAUCCUGUCUCUA
rnacentral:sRNA from 1 species